AUUCAGUCAGGCAGGUGUUAGGGGGAGCCCUACCUUCCACCCAGGAUGCCCAGAUCGGGAGGAUCCAGGUCAGGAAGGUCUGGAGGACAUUUGGACACAGACACAGGCCAUGUGAGCAUGAAGGCAGAGACUGGGAGAUGCAUCUAGAAGCCAAGGAACGUGGAAGAUGGCCAGCAAACUGCCAGACACAGAGGGAGAGGCCUGGAGCAGUCUCCCUUAUAGCCCCAGGAGGAACCAACCCUGUUUGCACGUUGCUGUUGGACUUCUGGCCUCCAGAACUGGGAGACAACACGUUUUGGUGGCUUAAGCCACCAACGAUAUUCAUGCAGCCCCUGUGGAGGUCAAGGGAUUUGUUCCAGAGCUCUGG
rnacentral:lncRNA from 1 species